rnacentral:rRNA from 1 species
UACGAAGGGGGCUAGCGUUGUUCGGAAUUACUGGGCGUAAAGGGUGUGUAGGCGGUUGCUUAAGUUUGGUGUGAAAUCUCCCGGCUCAACUGGGAGGGUGCGCCGAAUACUGAGUGACUAGAGUGCGGGAGAGGAGAGUGGAAUUCCUGGUGUAGCGGUGAAAUGCGUAGAUAUCAGGAGGAACACCGGUGGUGUAGACGGCUCUCUGGACCGUAACUGACGCUGAGACACGAAAGCGUGGGUAGCAAACAGG